rnacentral:rRNA from 1 species
AUUGAACGCUGGCGGCAGGCUUAACACAUGCAAGUCGAGCGGGGGAAGGUAGCUUGCUACCGGACCUAGCGGCGGACGGGUGAGUAAUGCUUAGGAAUCUGCCUAUUAGUGGGGGACAACAUCUCGAAAGGGAUGCUAAUACCGCAUACGUCCUACGGGAGAAAGCAGGGGAUCUUCGGACCUUGCGCUAAUAGAUGAGCCUAAGUCGGAUCAGCUAGUUGGUGGGGUACAGGCCUACCAAGGCGACGAUCUGUAGCGGGUCUGACAGGAUGAUCCGCCACACUGGGACUGAGACACGGCCCAGACUCCUACGGGAGGCAGCAGUGGGGAAUAUUGGACAAUGGGGGGAACCCUGAUCCAGCCAUGCCGCGUGUGUGAAGAAGGCCUUAUGGUUGUAAAGCACUUUAAGCGAGGAGGAGGCUACUUUAGUUAAUACCUAGAGAUAGUGGACGUUACUCGCAGAAUAAGCACCGGCUAACUCUGUGCCAGCCGCCGCCGUAA